GAGGUUCUUCCAGUUCUCCCAUGUGGGUACAGGGGCCCAAACAUUUGGACCAUCCUCCAUUGUUUCCCCAGGUUCAUCAGCAGGGAGCUGGAUUGAAAUCAGAGCAACUGGGUCUUGAACUGGACCUCAUACAGGAUGCUGGCACUGCAGGCAGCAGCUUAACCUGCCAUGCACAAUGCCAACCCCCACAAUUAUCUUUAAUACCAUUUCAGGCAGGCAUUAGCCAUUUGAUGCCUUAUUUCAUUGAAAAAAAUAGAAUAUGAGACUUUCAGGGAAAACAGACAACUCCUUUCUCCGAGGAUAGCACACUCUUCUUCUUUAAUGCUGCAAUCAACAAGGGCUGGGCUGUGACUAGGAAAGCUUAUCCCACUUGGAGAGAGGUGAGUUCUGCAAAAGGUGCUCAAGAAUCACUGUGAGAAUUUAUGAACAGGGUCAAUGCAGCAAUGUUCUCUACCCUCACCCACUUGUCAUACAAGUGGUACACAUUUGGGACUGCAAUAAAAUACUUUGCUUGCUAACCAUCUUCUCAUUUAAGGUUACUUGUUAAUGCAGUUUGUCUUUUUAAAAGAGUUUGGGGACAGCUUUUCAUGAACAGACUUUAGACCACUGCAAUUCAAAUUACUUCCUUUUACAGAUGAGAGAACUGAUGAACAUUCUAGAAACAACAGGGAUUUUUUUUUCCUACAUCACAUUAUUACUGGUACUCCAAUACAUUGAAUCCUCAACAUAUGCUGUGUUUGUUUUGUUUUGUUUCUACAGUACCAGGUGCUACCCUGGUUUUGUGUUUUCCCAUUGAUCUAUACUCCUAAGAAUGACUUUAAUUGUAGAAUAUUAAUGUCAUAAAAAAUUUCAUCUGACAGUUACAUAACUACUCACUGACUUACAAAUAUAGAUCACAAAUGUGAAUCUUCAUGCCUGUUCCAUCCGAGGUGAAACACCCAGGUGUUUACUUACAUGUCCACCAGAGAGCUGUGAAGGGUAGGCUGUGAAGGAUAGGCUCAGCUGCAUGGGGUGGAGAAAGGAGAGCUGGGAUACAGAGACUGUCAGCUGCAAGUCACUCACUUAGGACUUUGAUAUCCUGGAGGUCAAAGAUAUGAUCACCUAGGAGAUGAUCAAGCAAUGACUAUGGUCUGGGCCCAUAUACACAUUAGAUCUCUCCAUGUUGCUAGAUGGUGAAUGCAGUGACAUGAAUCCAGGGAUCACUAGUAGUUACUCCCCCCAGGAAAGCACUAGAAAUUCAUGCUGUUCAUCAGAGGUUAGGAGAGUUCUACUUUCCCUAGACCAUUUCAGAGUCUUUGAAUCCCUAAAUUUGCAUCUGAACCAGGAACAGUUCUUGUAUUAUCCUACUCCAGCCAACAAUCAUGUAUUACCUUGAAUUCUUUGAAUGUUGGAAUUUGAGGAUUUUUUUUUUUUUUUAGCUUAUAGACAACUACAAAUAGAGUUCUCAGCAUUGUGGGGAUUUUUAAAGUUACUCAAGAUCUGGAGGAGCAUGCGCUUUUCAUGAAACAGUUAUUACUAUGAACCUUUCUUUGUCAGGGGCUCUCUCUGACAUCAUAAAAAAGUACACGGGGGACGGCGCCGUGAUGCAGUACGUUAAUCCUAUGCCUGUGGUGCCAGUAUUCCAUAUGGGUGCUGGUUCGAGUCCCAGCUGCUCCUCUUCCAAUCCAGCUCUCUGCUAUGGCCUGGGAAAGCAGUAGAAGGUGGCCCAAGUGCUUGGGUCCCUGCACCCACAUGGGAGACCCUGAAGAAGCUCCUGGUUCCUGGCUUUGAUUAGCACAGUUCCAGCCAUUGCGGCUACUUGAGGAGUGAACCAGCAGAAGGAAGACCUUUCUCUCUGUCUCCUCUCACUGUCUGUAACUCUACCUCUCAAAUAAAUAAAAAUCUAAAAAAAAAAAAAAAGAGUAUAUGGGAUAAAACUCAUGGAGCUGGUUUCGACUUAAGGAAACACAAAGUCAUCUAGAAUAUUACUUGAAAAUGAAUCCUUGUGUUUCUGGGUGGCUUCUUUUUUGAUAUCCCAGUGAGCAUAACCUUAUCUAUUGCUAGACCCAAAGGGUAUAGAAAACAAAGCAGAAAGCCAAUAGACAAGCUGUGAACUUACAGUUGCAUUUUGGUUUGGUACCCUGAAACCCAAAGCUUCAAACUGUGAAAGGGAAGCCUCCUUCCUAAAGGUCUUUUAAAAAUUUAUUCUGUUCCAUAAAAGAAAUUUAGAAUAGUUUUCUGGCUUUUAAAUUAACCCGGGAGAAACCAGCAAGACACAUCGACUGCUGGACGUAGAUGUCCCUGUUGUAAAUCAUGGGCCUUAGCAGGACCACAGAGAGUAUUCUUCCUUCCAGUCCCAGACAAAACUGAGUGAGUUACUUCUAAAGGUCUGUACAGUGAACCUUAGUCUACAUGGUUAGUCAUUAACACUGGCAGCAUGCUCUGGGGCCUUCAAAGGCCAGUGGAGUUCUGCUGUUUAAAGUGCUGCCUUCGGCCUUGUGUCAGACAGUGAGGCAAGGAAAUUGGGAGAAUCUUAGUGAAUAAAAGGACUGGAACGAACCACAAAAUUCCUCCUCUUCAGUUACUCAUUUUGGAGUACUUCAUGUUUAAUAUUUAAUGAAUGUGGAUAUAAAUGAUCAUUUUAAGUCUUUAUUUGUACAGAUGUUUAAGCAACCAAGGAGGCUGCCUCUCUGUUGACCCUGUGGAGUAAAUGUUCCUGGUCACUAAUCUGGGAGCAGUCUAGACUCACUCAAAAUAGAAACUUUCCUUUUCAGAUCGUUAAGUGGCUUCUUAGGAAAGCAUUAACGUUUGAACCCUAUCUGGAAUCAGCCACUGGUACCAGGAUAGCAUUUCACUUGAACUCAAUCAUAUAUCUCAAGAAGAAUUCUUUGAACAAAACAGAUGCAUUUUUAGAGUAACUCCUGGACUCUGUCACUUUUGAGUUCUAUUGUAUUAGCACAAACAUACAAUAACCUAUUAUUGAGAUGGGCUAUGAAAAUUAAAUGACAGUACUGAUUCAUCUGAAGUACUUAACAGAGCACUCAUAAAAGAGUGAGCAAUAAAUAUUCUAAAAUGUGUAUAUAUCAUCAUUAGGUUAAUAAACCUUAAGUAGGAACUUUAGAUAAUUUAGAUAUAACCACAAAGUUAGUAAACAUCAGAAGUGAUCUCACGCCCCAAAACUAAUCCUGCUAGCAUUUCAGUGAUAUUCCUGAAGUAGUUAUUGUAAUCCCUGUUGCUCCUCUUCCAGUCCAGCUCUCUGCUGUGGCCCGGGAGUGCAGUGGAGGAUGGCCCAAGUCCUUGGGCCCUGCACCCGCAUGGGAGACCAGGAGAAGCACCUGGCUCCUGGCUUCAGAUCAGUGCAGUGCACCAGCGGCGGCGCACCGGCCGCAGUGGCACUUGGGGGUGAAUCAAUGGAAAAGGAAGACCUUUCUCUCUCUCUCACUGUUCACUCUGCCUGUCAAAAAAAAAAAAAAAAAAAGGUAUAUUUUCUAAGUGUUUCAUGGAUACCAAGAAAGACAUUCCUGAGGAAUUCUGUGUAAAGAAUACCACAAUAAGGUUGGGACAUGGCAGUUUUAGUCUAUUUUUCAACAACUAGUUUUCUAACAGUGAAAAAUUCCUGGGGACCGGUGCUGUGGUGCAGUGGGUUAAUGCCCUGGCCUGAAGCGCUGGCAUCCCAUAUGGGUGCUGGUUUGAGAUCCGGCUACUCCACUUUCCAUCCAGCUAUCUGCUAUGGCCUGGGAAAGCAGUAGAAGAUGUCCUAAGUCCUUGGGCCACUGGACCCACGUGGGAGGCCUGGAGGAAUUCUCCUGGCUCCUGGCUUCAGAUUGGCCCAGCUCUGGUCGUUGUGGCCAGUUGGGGAGUGAACCAUCAGAUGCAAGACCUCUCUCUCUCUCUCUCCUCUCUCUGUGUAACUCUGACUUUCAAAUAAAUAAAUAAAUCUUUUUAAAAAAAUUCCCUUAUUCUCUAGUCUUUGUUUUCUUCAUCAAAGAUAUACAAUCACUAAUGAAAAUUAGAAAAAAAUCCCAUUAUCCUCCCUUCUCUUUAUUUCCACAUCUUCAUCCUAGAACACAGAAAUAUUGACAGGGUAAAAUUGGCUAAUGUCGAAAUUACAACUUCUAAAAAACAACAAGUAAAAUUAAUUCUUAUAAACUUUUGGAUUAUUGAUAAUGUAUAUCUUGUUGUAAAUACAUGCACCACACAAGUACACAUGCACACAUACCCAUGCACCUGAAUAGGCCAAAGAAGAUACUCACAUAUAAAGCCUAAUGCAGUUCCAGGAAUCAGGGAAGCUAAAUCCAUUUGAUCUUUUAACCUGUCAGUUAAAAAUUGAUGAGUUGUGCCUGCUCAAGCUCUGAGUUAAGGUCAAAGUACCCUUGAAGAGACAAGAAAAAAGAAAUAAGUGAUUUACAGAUAAGACCGGUAGCCUUGGCACCAGCAGCUUUUGUUUCGUUAGCUGUAGUCCCUGGGAGAGGAGUGUGCCUCAGCAGGCACAAAGUGUUCCCCAGACAAUGUUAGACACACGCCAAACUGGAGCCUCGCCAGGUUGCAGCUACCACGCUGAAUUCCUGCAUGUAGCCUAUGGGCACACACAAAAGGCAGACCCAGGUUACCAUAGCCUCCCAGGUAAGGACCAAAGCUGCUAUUUGUCAUCAUUAAGCAGUUGAGCCAUUCUUCUUUCCCCUGCCCUCUAUAACCAAUGACAGUGAAAUUUGCCUGGAAAAAAAAAAAAAAAAGCAAAGCACGGGACAAAGAAAACUCAACAUUCUGUGCUGAGGCCAGCUCUCUGCUGUGGCCCAGGAGUGCAGAGCAGGAUGGCCCAAGUGCUUGGGCCCUGCACCCGCAUGGGAGACCAGGAGAAGCACCUGGCUCCUGGCUUCGGAUCAGCGCGGUGCAGCGCGGAGGCUGCACCAGCCACUGGAGGGUGAACCAAAGCUCCCUGCUGCUGUUCCUGGAAAAGAAGCAGAAUAUGGCCCAAGUGCUUGGGCUCCUGCACCCACAUUGGAGAUCCAAAAGAAGCUCCAGGCUCCUGGCUUCAGAAGGCCCAGCUCCAGAUGUUUUAACCAUUUUGGGAGUGAACCAGCUGAUGGAAGACCUCUCUCUCUCUCUCUCUCUCUGUCUGCUCUUCCUUUCAAAUAAAUAAAUAAGUUAUUUUUAAAAAUAUGAGAAACUUGAAGAUGAAAGGUGAAGAUGGUGAUUGGUACACAGCAUCCCAUUUUGGAGUGUCUGGGUUUGAGUUACAGUUCCACUUUGGAUUACAGUUUGCUGUUAUUUCUCAGCCUAGGAGGCAGCAGGUUAUUGCUCAAGUAUUUGGGAUCCUGCCACCCACUUGGGAUUUAUGGAUUGAGUUCCAAUUUUCUGAUUUCAGGCAGGCCCAAGUCAUGCUGUUGCAGGCAUUUGGAGUAAACCCGUAGGUGAAGAUUUUUAUCUGUCAGAAUCAACCUCUCUCUGUCACUCUCUCUAUCUCUCUUCCUCCUAUGCCUUUCAAAUAAGUGAAAGUAAACAAAAUUUCAAAAAUACAAGGGCAUAUUUUCCUCAUCUGAACUAUUCUGGUGGUAUUUUUUCAUGAUCUCUUCUUGUAAUAUAUCUUAAAUAUUCUAUCUUUAGAAAAAUUGGUCUUUCCAAAGCUUGCAUGUCUCUGAUCAUUAUUUUUCCCUGUUUAAACAAGCAAAAUUGGUGAAUCAUCUUUACUUUUAGUGAACAUUCAAAUUCUAUUUAUUAGACUUCAACUCUGCAGCUCUUUAGCCUGACCCUACUUGCAGUAUUUCACAGUCAGUCUCUGACAGAAAAUAACCUUCACUUGUAUCCCUAUAUCUUUACAUUCCUUCUAUAGCCUAGCCAAAUACAGUUACUAAAGGUGAACAAACUUGACAUUUACCUCCAUAUUUUAGUUCAGGUCAUUCUCUUAUUGCCAUACUAAUCCCUCCCAUUUGAUUCAUGAACUUUCUCUUUGAAUACUUCUU